GAUCAUUAGCUACCUUCCCUCUAGUCUAUCGCUUCUAAAUUAGGAACGGCUAACGGAGAUAGCCGUCGAGUAGUAUUGCUCGAAAUUCAACAAACAAACAAACUCAUUCA